GUGUUGAUAUUGGGCAGAAAUGGGCCUUCAUAUAUGAACCGUGGGUUGGACUGGGUGAGGGUUUUGGGCCCGAAACCGCUCGGCCCGGCCCGUUGUCCAGCCCUAGGUUCAACAACAGUUCAUUCCAUUCUGUUCAUUCCAUUCUCUCUAUUCAGUUCAACGUGUUUCAACCUCAAAUAACACUGGCCAGAGUUCAUUAGCUAUGUCGCCCCGAAAAUCGCCUCCGACGACGGCGGAGGGCCAAUCAACAUAAACCUCACAUCCACACAUCAUUGUUCUCUUGUCUCUCAUCUUAUCAUGUUAAUUUCUCCCAAUUUCCACUCAAAAUCCAAACCGAGCCAAAUACACUUAGGAACCCUAGACUAUCUAAGUGAAAAUUAAAUGCAUUAUAGGCAGAAUCAAAGCCUAAUUUCUUAGGGCUUUGAUUCCUCAGGUGUCACUCUAUAUUUUGGUAAUUGAAAUUAAAGUAAGAGCAAGAGGAAACUGAAGCACCUACUUGCAUGUAGGAAACUGCCCCGAAGAUCGUUGCAAGGGAGAAAAUGAGGCCGAAUUCGAAGAAAAAUAAAGAGUGUCCAGGAUAGAAGAAUGCUUGGGCAUGGAUUUGGCAUGGAUUUAAUCAAGGCAUGGGAUAAUGUAGUGAAGGCAUGGAUUUGGCAUGGAUUUAAUCAAGGCAUGGGAUAAUGUAGUGAAGAGAUGGGGAUGCAUCAAGAAUCAUGAAGAACAAGACUAGGGGUAGCUUGGGAUUGAAGAUAUUUUUGUAAUUAGGGUUAGGACUAGUAGAGUUGACGAAAAAGUCAAUUGUAGGUCAAAGUUGUAUUUUUUUUAGGUUUUUGGAUUUUGUACUUCUAUGAUGUAAUUGGAUAUUUGGAAAUGAACCUUGAAUGACUUUUGUAAUGAAAAAUGAAUUUCAAAACCUUGAUCUUUAAUGAAUUUCCUCCAAGCUUGAUUUUGAA